UAAACUUUAUCACAAUAUGCUAAUUUUUUGAGAAGGACCUGUAUUAGCAUCAAUACACAGUAGAACAGUAACAAAAAAUACUUUUAAACAAUCAAAGGUCCGUGGUAACAGUCAAGGUGUUUGCUUAGGGCUUGUUUGUUGGGGUGCAAGAUGAGGUUUGACAUUGUUUUUUCUUCGUGUUAUUCGCCUGGCUUUUACAUCCAAGAUGUCCAGCAUUGGCCAGAAUGUUUUUCUUUCAUUAAAGAUAUGUUUUGCUGCUAUUCUUAGUCUCAGUCUGAUGAAUCUGGUGGUUAUUUUUCUUUGCACAUCGUGACAUGAAGGAAGCAUGCUUUCUAAUAGAUUUGCUUCUCUCUCUAGAGUAUCCAUGGCAUUUGGGAGCUCCAUGACAGAUUUGCUGGACCUUGUUCUGAAAAGUUUUUCAACUUUCUGGUAGAGGCUGAAAUUUUUUCGGGAAUUCCACGAGUCACGGGAUUCCCAUGGGAAUCCGGCAGGAUGGGAGACAGGAUCGCUCCUGUGUGACCAGGCAGCAUCACAUUCCCAAACAGCUUCCCUGUUCCUAGGUGCAGCUCCACACUAGGGGUGAUUGCCAUUUCAUCUAGAGUAAGUAUACAUUCUCUUUCUAUCUCUGUUAAACUGUCAACCUUUAGUUGGAGCAUGUUGAAAACGUCUCCUAGCACACCUGGUUCUAGCUUAAUGUGUUGCAAUCUUCUUUCCUGGGUUCUGAUGUCAGGGAGAGGGACACUCAUGUCCUGAAGAAGCCUGUAGCCUGUUGAGCCCACAGAAAAGCGAAGUUGUAUGGCUUUUUUUAAUGUGUUUUUGCUCCAUCUAAUGCCUCUCUUACUCUUCAUGCCAAUAGCUUUCAUUUGAUCUUUUGUGAAAAUGCUGCCAAAUUUCUUUUCCAUUGUUAAAUCUUUCUUUCGUAGGACUGCAUUAAUUUUCUUCUGUCUGUGAAGUUCUCCUUCUAUUGUUCUUAUGUGAAUUUUUUGGUUUUCUAGUUCCUCCCUCAGCUUUUUCACCUUGGUUUCCUGAUUGUAUUCCCUGUUGAUGCAUACUUCUUGCCCUGUUGACCCUGGCUCAUCAGUUUCUGGCAUGUCCCUGUCCUUUGAGGCUACAAUUUCAUCUUCUUUUUCCCCUUCACUUUCCCUCAUCUCACUUGCCUCAUUUCUGUUUCUUCCUUCCUUCAUCUCUGAAAUUAUAAUGGCACUAUUGGCAUGAAGAUUAUGUAAUAAAUUUCAAACGUAUUAUUUAACACGGUUCGUACCAAAGUUUACUUUAGAACUAUAUGUGUGAUCACUAGUCAGUGGAUCAACAUGCAGUGGAAUUUCUGCUGGACUUCUCAUUGCAGGUUCAUUACUCCUCUUUGGUUCUGGGCGAUGAAGAAAAAGGGUUGGAACGGCAUCAGCCCUCAGUCUCACUUGGCCUGACUGUGCCCUCACAAACUGUCCUUUUUCAAAGUGUGCCUGAUCUUUUGGGAAGCCAUACAUACGGAUUCCUUUCUCUGACCGAUUGAUGCAUCCAAAUGCAGCACACACAACCAUGCAGAUGUGGUGACUGACUUCAAAAGGAGCUGCUGCCAAGGAGGAUGAACACUCAUUCGGACUUGGGCACAUUUCUACCUUGUCCAGAUUUGAUCAGAUACAGUUUAUUGGUGCAGAUGUAAUUAAUAAACUGUAUAAAUGGUAGUGCAAGUACUUAUUUAUUAAAGCUAGUUUUGCAUUUUACAUAUCUUACAAUAAAUUGUUUGAUCAUU